CAGCCGCCGCGGUAAUACGAAGGGUGCAAGCGUUGCUCGGAAUUACUGGGCGUAAAGCGUGCGUAGGUGGUGGUUUAAGUCCGUUGUGAAAGCCCUGGGCUCAACCUGGGAAUUGCAGUGGAUACUGGGUCACUAGAGUGUGGUAGAGGAUAGUGAAUUUUCCGGUGUAGCAGUGAAAUGCGUAGAGAUCGGAAGGAACAUCUGUGGCGAAGGCGACUAUCUGGGCCAACACUGACACUGAGACACGAAAGCGUGGGGAGCAAACAGGAUUAGAUACCCCCGUAGUCCCUGUCUCUUAUAC
rnacentral:rRNA from 1 species